GUGUAUGAGAUGAAAUUCAAAAUAUAUCUACCAUUUUGAAUUUGAAAAAAAGAAAAACAAAUACAACUAAUCAAGCAAGAUUGCGCCAUUGUGUGCCAUUUUUGCAUAGAGAAGACUGGAAUCUAGUUCUUAGCAGUCAACUCUUGAUAGUUGAAAGUUUAGUUCAAUGGUUUUUAGGGCCUGUUCAUAUGAUACCGCUUACCGGGACGUCUCGCUUACCAAGACGAAUAUUUCCGUGCGUUCAUAUGGAAUAUUUCGUCCCGCUUGCCGAGAUGAAAUUACAUUGUAGUUCCAUAAUUAAUAGCGUAUGCAAAACUUCUACAUUUCAGUCAAGCAACACAAAUACUU